UUGAUCUGGCUCAGAACGAACGCUGGCGGCGUGCUUAAUACAUGCAAGUCGAGCGAGAAAUUCCGGCUUCGGUUGGAAAAGUAAAGUGGCGAACGGGUGAGUAACACGUGGAUAAUCUGCCCUUAAAUUUGGGAUAAACCCCCGAAAGGGAGUCUAAUACCAAAUAACACCAUUUAGUGGCAUCGCUUUAUGGUCAAAGGCGGGGCAACCUGUCGUUUAGGGAUGAGUCCGCGUUCCAUUAGCUUGUUGGUGAGGUAACGGCUCACCAAGGCUGCGAUGGAUAGCCGGCCUGAGAGGGUGAUCGGCCACACUGGGACUGAGAUACGGCCCAGACUCCUACGGGAGGCAGCAGUAGGGAAUAUUGCGCAAUGGACGAAAGUCUGACGCAGCAACGCCGCGUGGGUGAUGAAGCAUCUUGGUGCGUAAAACCCUGUCAGUGGGGAAGAACCGUACAGAGAGUAACUGCUCUGUGCCUGACGGUACCCACAGAGGAAGUCCCGGCUAACUCCGUGCCAGCAGCCGCGGUAAUACGGGGGGGACAAGCGUUGUUCGGAUUUACUGGGCGUAAAGGGCGCGUAGGUGGACCUUCAAGUCGGGUGUGAAAACUGGCGGCUUAACUGCCAGCCUGCACUCGAUACUGUCGGUCUUGAGUACAUGAGAGGAAAGCGGAAUUCCAGGUGUAGCGGUGAAAUGCGUAGAUAUCUGGAAGAACACCGGUAGCGAAGGCGGCUUUCUGGCGUGAUACUGACACUGAAGCGCGAAGGCUAGGGGAGCAAACAGGA
rnacentral:rRNA from 1 species